rnacentral:lncRNA from 1 species
GGAGAAAACACAAUUAGCGGACUAAGGAAAUGAAUGUAGGUUAUGAGGCUUAUUCUGCCUGUAAUGGAUAUAAAUGUACUCUAAAACUUCAGUUACUGUUAUGGAUCAUGGACAACCGAGCAAAUUAUAUAUUAAACUAAUCGCAGAUGAUGCUACUGAUCGGCAGAGGUCUGCACGGCCUUCCAGAGAGUACAGAUUUCUGCGGAGAAUUGGCCCAUGGUAUGUGCUGUACACGUGCUACUAUACUGACAGCUGGGGAUGUGUCAGAGAAGGUAGAAAGAGAGAGAAGUUUCUCAGAAGACGCGGCACUAUUGGAAAGUCUAAUGGAUCCAGAGGAUGUAAUUCCCACAGGAUAUAUUAAUAACAUUGCUACUGUGACCACGGCACCCAUUAUCUCUGCAUCAUUUUCCUGGACCUAAAAAGAAAGGUGUGAAGGGA